UCCUACGGGAGGCAGCAGUAAGGAAUAUUGGACAAUGGGCGAGAGCCUGAUCCAGCCAUGCCGCGUGCAGGAAGACGGACCUAUGGUUUGUAAACUGCUUUUGAACGAGAGAAAACCCGAGUACGUGUACUCGGCUGAUAGUAUCGUUAGAAUAAGCAUCGGCUAACUUCGUGCCAGCAGCCGCGGUAAGACGAAGGAUGCAAGCGUUAUCCGGAUUCAUUGGGUUUAAAGGGAGCGUAGGCGGACUUGUAAGUCAGUGGUGAAAUCUUUGGGCUUAACCCAGAAACUGCCAUUGAUACUGCAGGUCUAGAGUACAGUUGCCGUUGGCGGAAUAUGACAUGUAGUGGUGAAAUACUUAGAUAUGUCAUAGAACACCGAUUGCGAAGGCAGCUAACGAAGCUGUAACUGACGCUGAGGCUCGAAAGUGCGGGGAUCAAACAGGAUUAGAUACCCUGGU
rnacentral:rRNA from 1 species